AGGAAGCUUUUCCUUUGAGGGGAAUGUUGUCUGGCUCGAGGCAUUUGUAGUAGUUUGAGAUUUACAGAUCUUACAUGUUCUCUUAUAUUUCGAGAUCUCGGACCAGGCUUCAUUCCCCCCAAUCACAGCUUCCA
rnacentral:pre_miRNA from 15 species